rnacentral:rRNA from 1 species
CGGAGGAUCCAAGCGUUAUCCGGAAUCAUUGGGUUUAAAGGGUCCGUAGGCGGUUUAAUAAGUCAGUGGUGAAAGCCUAUCGCUCAACGAUAGAACGGCCAUUGAUACUGUUAGACUUGAAUUAGUGGGAAGUAACUAGAAUAUGUAGUGUAGCGGUGAAAUGCUUAGAUAUUACAUGGAAUACCAAUUGCGAAGGCAGGUUACUAUCACUAUAUUGACGCUGAUGGACGAAAGCGUGGGGAGCGAACAGGAUUAGAUGCCCUGGUAGUCCACGCCGUAAACGAUGGAUACUAGCUGUUCGGAGCAAUCUGAGUGGCUAAGCGAAAGUGAUAAGUAUCCCACCUGGGGAGUACGUUCGCAAGAAUG